rnacentral:rRNA from 1 species
AUUGAACACUGGCGGCAGGCCUAACACAUGCACGUCGCACGAGUUGCUGACGGGUGAGUAAUGUCUGGGAAACUGCCUGAUGGAGGGUGAUAACUACUGGAACCGGUAGCUAAUACCGCAUCCCCUCAGCUGUGCCCAGAUGGGCGUAGCUUGUUGGUGGGGUAACGGCUCACCACGGCGACGAUCCCUAGCUGGUCUGAGAGGAUGACAAGCAAAACUGGAACUGAGACACGGUCCAGACUCCUACGGGAGGCAGCAGUGGGGAAUAUUGGACAAUGGGCGAAAGCCUGAUGCAGCCAUGCCGCGUGUAUGAAGAAGGCCUUCGGGUUGUAAAGUACGUUAAGUGGGGAGGCGUUACCAGCAGAAGAAGCACCGGCUAACUUCGUGCCAGCAGCCGCGGUAAUAC